UAUGAGGUUUGUAUCAUUGUUUUGCAAAGAAGUAAACUGCCACUUAAGAAACUGAAGCAAUUUUUCAAUGUCCUUAAGGCCAGCAGAAGAGCCAAGAUUUUAACCAGAGCUAAGACACAUGGCUCUGAGUAAAUUCACAACAGGAUGUCAUAGAGAAAAUGGUACCAGGUACUUUAUUUUGGUCCUUCAUGAGAAACAAGAUAAGGAAACAGGCUGAGAAAGGUCCUUUUCUCAAUGUCACUUGUGUACUGUUGGGAGCUGGGACUCAAUCCCAGGUUCCUCAGAUCUCAGCAUUAUGACCAGUCCACAAGAGGAGAAAAGGGGGAUAAGGAAAGGUGCUGAGGUUGUUUGGGAGAGAGUAUAGUCUCCUAGACCUCCUCCAACUUCUGUUUUCAAUCCACCAGCAGCUGACAUAGACCCAACACGAAUGGAUUCUGCUAUUCAAAGAGUCUGCACUAGAGGCACCUGGAUGGCUCACUAGAUAAAGUCUCUGCCUUCA